UACGUAGGCAGCGAGCGUUGUUCGGAGUUACUGGGCGUAAAGAGUGCGUAGGCGGUGCUCUAAAGUUUGGUGUGAAAUCUCCCCGGCUCAACUGGGAGGGUGCGCCGAAAACUGGAGUGCUCGAGUAUGGGAGAGGUAAGGCGGAAUUCCUGGUGUAGCGGUGAAAUGCGUAGAUAUCAGGAGGAACACCUGCGGUGUAGACGGCUUACUGGACCAUGACUGACGCUGAGGCACGAAAGCGUGGGGAGCAAACAGG
rnacentral:rRNA from 1 species